AAACUCAAAUGAAUUGACGGGGACCCGCACAAGCAGCGGAGCGUGUGGUUUAAUUCGUUGCUACACGAAGAACCUUACCUGGGUUUGACAUAUAGGUUGUAGGGAACUGAAAAGGGACCGACCCUUCGGGGAGCCUAUACAGGUGUUGCAUGGCUGUCGUCAGCUCGUGUCGUGAGAUGUUCGGUUAAGUCCGCUAACGAGCGCAACCCUCGUCGUAUGUUAUAUGUGUCAUACGAGACUGCCGGUAAAAGCCGGAGGAAGGUGAGGAUGAUGUCAAGUCAGCAUGACCUUUAUAUCCAGGGCUACACACACGCUACAAUGGUCUGUACAAUGGGUAGCCAAGCCGCGAGGCGGAGCCAAUCCUGAAAGCAGGCCUCAGUUCAGAUUGCAGUCUGCAACUCGACUGCAUGAAGCCGGAGUUGCUAGUAACCGCAGGCCAGCAAUACUGCGGUGAAUACGUUCCCGGGUCUU
rnacentral:rRNA from 1 species